rnacentral:RNase_P_RNA from 1 species
AGAGUCGGCCGGGUGGCCGCGGCGCGGCGGAGACGCCGGGUCGAGGAAAGUCCGGACUCCACAGGGCAGGACGCUGGAGAAACUCCAGGCGGGGCGACCCGCGGCAAGUGCAACAGAGAGCAGACCGCCCGGGGCUUCGGCGUCGGGUAAGGGUGAAAGGGUGAGGUAAGAGCUCACCGGCGCGCCGGGCGACCGGCGCGGCCGGGUAAACCCCGUCCGGAGCAAGGCCAAGCAGGAGGCAUGGGUUGCCCGCCCGCCGAGGCCGAGAGGCCGAAGCAGCCUCCGGGUAGGCCGCACGAGGCGGACGGAGACGUCCGUCCGAGAUGGAUGGUCACCGCCGCCGGGGAACCGGCGGUACAGAAUCCGGCUUACAGGCCGGCUCUCACU